GACGAACGCUGGCGGCGUGCUUAACACAUGCAAGUCGAGCGGAGCGGCGAACGGGUGAGUAACGCGUGAGUAACUGCCCCCCUCUCUGGGAUAACAGUUGGAAACGGCUGCUAAUACCGGCUAGUGGGGGAUGACGCGCGUCCGAUCAGCUUGUUGGUGGGGUAGUGGCAUACCAAGGCGACGACGGGUAGCCGGCCUGAGAGGGCGACAGGCCACAGUGGGCUGGGUUACGGGCCGAAGUCCUACGGUAGGCAGCAGUGGAGAAUAUUGCACAAUGGGGGAAGCCCUGAUGCAGCAACGCCGCGUGCUGGAGGACGGCCUUCGGGUUGUAAACCGCUUUCAGCCAGGACGCGGUAGUGGCAGAAGAAGCACCGGCUAACUACGUGCCAGCAGCCGCGGUAAUUC
rnacentral:rRNA from 1 species